rnacentral:ncRNA from 1 species
AACGAGUAUCCAUUGGAUUCAAGUCUGGUGCCAGCAGCCGCGGUAAUUCCAGCUCCAAAAGUAUAUAUUUAAGUUGUUGCGGUUAAAAAGCUCGUAGUUGGAUUUUGGGCGCAGGCGGCCGGUCCGUCGCAAGGCGUGUACUGGACGUCCUGGCCUUCCCUCCGGUUCUCCGCCGGUGCUCUUGACUGAGUGUCGGCGGCGGCCGGAACGUUUACUUUGAAAAAAUUAGAGUGUUCAAAGCAGGCUCUCGAGCCUGGAUAAUGGUGCAUGGAAUAAUGGAAUAGGACCUCGGUUCUAUUUUGUUGGUUUUCGGAGCGCGAGGUAAUGAUUAAGAGGGACAGACGGGGGCAUUCGUACUGUGCCGUUAGAGGUGAAAUUCUUGGAUCGGCGCAAGACGAACGACUGCGAAAGCAUUUGCCAAGAAUGUUUUCUUUAAUCAAGAGCGAAAGUCAGAGGUUCGAAGACGAUCAGAUACCGUCCUAGUUCUGACUAUAAACGAUGCCAACUAGCGAUCGCGUUACAUUGACGACCCCUCCGGCAGCUUACGGGAAACCAAAGUCUUUGGGUUCCGGGGGAAGUAUGGUUGCAAAGCUGAAACUUAAAGGAAUUGACGGAAGGGCACCACCAGGAGUGGAGCCUGCGGCUUAAUUUGACUCAACACGGGAAAUCUCACCCGGCCCGGACACAGUGAGGAUUGACAGAU